GGAGCCGUAUCGAAGCGGUCAUAACGGGGCGCACUCGAAAUGCGUUAGCCCUUACGGGCACGAGGGUUCGAAUCCCUCCGGCUCCG
rnacentral:tRNA from 1 species